UAGGGAAUAUUAGAAAUGGACGAAAGUCUGAUCUAGCAACACCGCGUGUGCGAAGAAGGCCUUCGGGUCGUAAAGCACUUUUUGGAAGGAAUAGGAAGGAAUGUACUUCCAGAAUAAGUCUCGGCUAACUACGUGCCAGCAGCCGCGGUAACACGUAGGAGGCAAACGUUAUCCGGAUUUACUGGGCGUAAAGCGCGUGUAGGUGGUUCUGUAAGUAGGGCGUGAAAGCUCCCGGCUCAACUGGGAGAGGCCGUUCUAAACUACAGAACUAGAGGAUGGUAGAGGGAGGUGGAAUUCCAGGUGUAGCGGUGGAAUGCGCAGAUAUCUGGAGGAACACCAGUGGCGAAGGCGGCCUCCUGGACCAUUCCUGACACUCAGACGCGAAAGCUAGGGUAGCAAACGGG
rnacentral:rRNA from 1 species